rnacentral:rRNA from 1 species
GACGAACGCUGGCGGCGUGCUUAACACAUGCAAGUCGAGCGGACAGACGCUGCGUUUGUGGGGUGCUCGAGUGGCGAACGCGUGAGUAACACGUGUGUAACCUGCACUUGUCUUUGGGGUAACACCUGGAAACUGGGGCUCAUACCCGGUAGAAGAUCCUGCUGCACGGUGGGGGUUGGUAAGAGUCGGCGGUUGGGGAUGGACUGGCGGCUUAUCAGCUUGUUGGUGGGGUAGUGGCUUACCAAGGCUGUGAAGGGUAGCCGGCCUGAGAGGGUGACCGGCCACAAUGGGACUAAGAGAGGGACCAGAAGCCUAUGGGAGGCAGCAGUGGAGAGCAUUGCGCAAUGGGCCGAAGCCAGAGACGGAGACGCUGCGUGCGGGAUGACGGCCUUCGGGUGGUAAACCGCUGUCGCAGGUGCUGAGCCCGGAGUGACGGUAAUGGGUCAGGAAGCACCGGCUAACUACGUG